GAUGAACGCUAGCUACAGGCUUAACACAUGCAAGUCGAGGGGUAACGAGAGGAAAGCUUGCUUUCCUUGUCGACGACCGGCGCACGGGUGAGUAACGCGUAUCCAACCUGCCCCCAACUAGGGAAUAACCUUGCGAAAGUAAGACUAAUACCCUAUAAUUUCCUCAGAUGUCAUCUGACGAGGAAUAAAGAUUUAUCGGUUGUGGAUGGGGAUGCGUCUGAUUAGCUUGUUGGCGGGGUAACGGCCCACCAAGGCAACGAUCAGUAGGGGUUCUGAGGUGAAGGUCCCCCAAAUUGGGACGGAGGCAAGGCCCAAACUCCUACGGGAGGCAGAAGUGAGGAAUAUUGGUCAAUGGGCGGAGGCCUGAACCAGCCAAGUAGCGUGCAGGAUGACAGCCCUAUGGGUUGUAAACUGCUUUUAUACAGGAAUAAAGUUAGCCACGUGUGGUUAUUUGUAGGUACUGUAUGAAUAAGGACCGGCUAAUUCCGUGCCAGCCGCCGCCGUAA
rnacentral:rRNA from 1 species